rnacentral:tRNA from 1 species
GGCCGCUUGGCGCAAUGGUAGCGCGUGGUCCUCCUAAGACUGAGGUUGCGGGUUCGAGUCCCGUGGUGGUCG